rnacentral:rRNA from 1 species
UACUGGACAAUGGGGGGAACCCUGAUCCAGCGACGCCGCGUGAGCGAAGAAGUAUUUCGGUAUGUAAAGCUCUAUCAGCAGGGAAGAANNAAUGACGGUACCUGAGUAAGAAGCCCCGGCUAACUACGUGCCAGCAGCCGCGGUAAUACGUAGGGGGCAAGCGUUAUCCGGAAUUACUGGGUGUAAAGGGAGCGUAGACGGUGAUGUAAGUCUGGAGUGAAAGGCGGGGGCCCAACCCCCGGACUGCUCUGGAAACUAUGUGACUGGAGUGCAGGAGAGGUGAGCGGAAUUCCUAGUGUAGCGGUGAAAUGCGUAGAUAUUAGGAGGAACACCGGUGGCGAAGGCGGCCUGCUGGACGACAACUGACGCUGAGGCUCGAAAGCGUGGGGAGCAAUCAGGA